UUCCUGGUAGCUCAGACGGUAAAGCAUCUGCCUACAAUGUGGGAGACCUGGGUUCGAUCCCUGGGUGGGAAA
rnacentral:tRNA from 1 species